rnacentral:tRNA from 1 species
AUUCUUGUAGUUUAAUAAGAACGGAAAACUUUCUAUUUUCUGGUUUCUCGUGGAGAGAAUAAGGAUA